AUUGAACGCUGGCGGCAUGCCUUACACAUGCAAGUCGAACGGCAGCAUGGGUGCUUGCACCUGAUGGCGAGUGGCGAACGGGUGAGUAAUGCAUCGGAACGUACCCGGAAGUGGGGGAUAACGUAGCGAAAGUUACGCUAAUACCGCAUAUUCUGUGAGCAGGAAAGUGGGGGAUCGCAAGACCUCGCGCUUCCGGAGCGGCCGAUGUCGGAUUAGCUAGUUGGCGGGGUAAAGGCCCACCAAGGCAACGAUCCGUAGCGGGGCUGAGAGGGUGAUCCGCCACACUGGGACUGAGACACGGCCCAGACUCCUACGGGAGGCAGCAGUGGGGAAUUUUGGACAAUGGGGGCAACCCUGAUCCAGCCAUGCCGCGUGAGUGAAGAAGGCCUUCGGGUUGUAAAGCUCUUUCGGCCGGGAAGAAAUCGCACAGGUUAAUACCUUGUGUGGAUGACGGUACCGGAAUAAGAAGCACCGGCUAACUACGUGCCAGCCGCCGCAGUAAAAC
rnacentral:rRNA from 1 species